rnacentral:rRNA from 1 species
GACGAACGCUGGCGGCGUGCUUAACACAUGCAAGUCGAGCGGACAGAUCAGGAGCUUGUUCCGUUGACGUUAGCCGCGGACGUGUGAGAAACACGAGUGUCACCUACCUAUAUGACUGGUAUAACCCCGGGAAACCGGCGAAUACCCCGGAUGACCUUUAGCAGCACAGUGUUCUUUAGUAAGAGAUGGCUUUGCUAUCUCGUCUAGAGGCUCACGCGCCGUAUGAGGUGGUUGGUAAGGUAACGGCUUACUAAGGCAACGAUACGUAGCCGACCGGAGAGGGUGAUCGGCCACACGGGAGCGGGGACACGGUCCAGACUCCUACGGGAGGCAGCAGUAGGGAAUCGGCCGCAAUGGGCGAAAGCCUGACGGAGCGACGCCGCGUGAGUGAUGAAGGUCUUCGGAUCGUAAAACUCGGUUAUUAGGGAAGAACAAAUGUGGAAGUAAAUGUGCACGUCGUGACGGUACUGAAUCAGAAAGCCACGGCUAACUACGUG